UCUCUGGUGGUCUAGUGGUUAAGUCUCUGUGCUUCUACUGCAGGGGGCAUGGGUUCAAUUCCCAGUCAGGGAA
rnacentral:tRNA from 1 species